UACGUAGGGUGCGAGCGUUAAUCGGAAUUACUGGGCGUAAAGCGUGCGCAGGCGGUUUUGUAAGACAGGCGUGAAAUCCCCGGGCUUAACCUGGGAACUGCGUUUGUGACUGCAAGACUAGAGUACGGCAGAGGGGGGUAGAAUUCCACGUGUAGCAGUGAAAUGCGUAGAUAUGUGGAGGAACACCGAUGGCGAAGGCAGCCCCCUGGGUCAAAACUGACGCUCAUGCACGAAAGCGUGGGGAGCAAACAGG
rnacentral:rRNA from 1 species